rnacentral:rRNA from 1 species
UACGUAGGGGGCAAGCGUUGUCCGGAAUCAUUGGCGUAAAGAGCUCGUAGGCGGCUUGUCGCGUCGAAUGUGAAAACUUGGGGCUCAACUCCAAGCUUGCAUUCGAUACGGGCAGGCUAGAGUUCGGUAGGGGAGACUGGAAUUCCUGGUGUAGCGGUGAAAUGCGCAGAUAUCAGGAGGAACACCGGUGGCGAAGGCGCCACUCUGGGCCGGUACUGACGCUGAGGAGCGAAAGCGUGGGGAGCGAACAGG